rnacentral:rRNA from 1 species
GGGCAUGCGUGCCAUUAGUUAGUUGGUGAGGUUACGGCUCACCAAGGACAACGAUGGCUAGGGGGUCUGAGAGGAUGAUCCCCCACACUGGUACUGAGACACGGACCAGACUCCUACGGGAGGCAGCAGUGAGGAAUAUUGGUCAAUGGACGCAAGUCUGAACCAAUCAUGCCGCGUGCAGGAUGAAUGCCCUAUGGGUUGUAAACUGCUUUUCUACAAGAAGAAACUUCCUGAUGUAUCAGGAACUGACGGUAUUGUAUGAAUAAGCAUCGGCUAACUCCGUGCCAGCAGCCGCGGUAAUACGGAGGAUGCAAGCGUUAUCCGGAUUCAUUGGGUUCAAAGGGUGCGUAGGCGGGGUAGUAAGUCAGUGGUGAAAGCCUGCGGCUUAACCGUAGAAUUGCCAUUGAUACUGCUAUUCUUGAGUGCCGUUGAGGUAGGCGGAAUGUGUAAUGUACCGGUGAAAUGCUUAGAUAUUACAGCAGAACACCGAUUGCGUAGGCAGGUUACUAAACUGUAACUGACGCUGAGGCCCGAAAGCGUGGGGAGCGAACAGGAUUAGAUACCCUGGUAGUCCACGCUGUAAACUAUGAUCCCUCGCUGUUGGGGAUACAUUGUCAGCGGCUGAGCGAAAGCGUUAAGUGAUCCCACCUGGGGAGUACGACCGCAAGAUUGAAACUCAAAGGAAUUGACGGGGGCCCGCACAAGCGGUGGAACAUGUGCUUUAAUUCGAUGAUACGCGAGGAACCUUACCUGGGCUUCAAUGCAGAACGACGUACCGGGAAACUGGUACUCCCUUCGGGGCGGACUGCAAGGUGCUGCAUGAUAGUCGUCAGCUCGUGCCGUGAGGUGUCGGCUUAAGUCCCAUGACGAGCGCAACCCUCAUUGUUAGUCCCCAGCGAGUAAUGUCGGGGACUCUGACGAAACUGCCGGUGUAGACCGUGAGGAAGGUGGGGAUGACGUCAAAUCAGCACGGCCCUUAUGUCCAGGGCUACACACGUGUUACAAUGGCCAGUACAAAGGGCAGCUACCACGCGAGUGGAUGCUAAU